UUAUCCGUAACGGAAACCAUAACACCACCAUUAAAAAUAUUAGCACUGUUUCAUCCAAAGAAUUCCUUUUCCUUUUAUUGAAACCUAAAUAAGCAAAUCAAUGGUUCCAUGCGUUACGAAAAUAAAGAUACCCAUUAAGUUUCUUUCUUCGCUAUUAUUUCUCCUUAUUAAUCCCUGAAAUGUUCGACUAUUUAAAUCCCUAAAAGAGUUAUCUUGCACAGGUUCUCUGUGCUUACAAUCCCCUUUUUCUCUAUCAUGAUUCAUGUUAGUUUCGGUGAUUUUGGUAUCUUUCGAGAUUCUCUGAUUAUUUUGAUAUUGUUGUAAAGUUUUAUUUGGUGCUUUUCAAGAAGCUUUUCUCUGAUUGAUUUUGUUGACGGUGGUGCACCGCAAAUUUUGAAAUCAGAGAAAAACAUCAAUCUCAGAUGGUUAAUGUCUAUGGUGGUGUAUUCCGGGAGGUUCUCAAGCUUAACAGUUUCAUGUUCUUCGGUAAUAUUAUUAUUCAAGCUUUUGGAUGAUGCGGCGUUUAAAUUAUAUGCAAUCAUCACUUUGGUGAGUAACAGCUUAAUGGAGCCACAAAAGAAGAGGGUCGUCACCAAACAAUGGCGAGUGACGAUUAAAUCCGUUAUUAAAGGAGAAUCCUUAUGAAGAAUGCCACAAUGGAGCAAGACGAAGGAGAAACUGCGUGAUUGCUAUUCUAAGCACUAAUUGUGUAAAUAAUACAACAAUCGGAGAGGGUCGUCACCCUAAAAAAGGCGAAUAAAGUACUCAUUGGUUUGUAUGAUCUGUAUAAUAUGCCAUAAAGUAAAUAUUUUGUGGAAUUUUUUAUUUGACAAGUCAGUCAUGGCUCACUCCGUUUUAUGAAACGUGGCGCAAUUAAACCAUAAAUCUGGAAGUGUUGGUUUCUUGACUCAUUCUAAUUUUUGGCAUCACCAAUUGAGCGUGUUUCACAAAUAUAAGAAUGUGCACCUGUGAUGAAGUACCUUUACUCAAAAAUGUCCCAUAUCGGUGAAGGUAAAACUACAAAACUCAUCCAUGCAUCUAUUUUCAUGCGCUAUGUCCCAUAUCGGUGAAGGUAAAACUACAAAUCCUCAUCCCAUGUAUGCAGCUAUGCGUUAUAUAGUUGAUCAUGUACUAUUUUACGGAAAAUGGCAAUACAAUAUGUUCACUAUUUAUCUGUUAA